CACACACACAAAUAUAAUUUUUAUAUAAAUAGGUACCAUUAAAAAAACAAAAGAGAGGGUUCAGAGAAGGGCUACUAAACGGGUUCAUGGAUUGCGGGAUAAAACUUACCAGGAAAGGUUAAAGGAUUUUAACAUGUAUAGCUUGGAGGAAAGACGAGAGAGGGGGGAUAUGAUAGAAACAUUUAAAUACAUAAAGGGAAUCAACACAGUAAAGGAGGAUACUAUAUUUAAAAGAAGAAAAACUACCACAACAAGAGGACAUACUCUUAAAUUAGAGGGACAAAGGUUUAAAAAUAUUAUCAGGAAGUAUUACUUUACUGAGAGGGUAGUGGAUGCAUGGAAUAGCCUUCCAGCUGAAGUGGUAGAGGUUAACACAGUAAAGGAGUUUAAGCAUGCGUGGGAUAGGCAUAAGGCUAUCCUAACUAUAAGAUAGGGCCAGGGACUAAUGAAAGUAUUUAGAAAAUUGGGCAGACUAGAUGGGCCGAAUGGUUCUUAUCUGCCGUCACAUUCUAUGUUUCU